rnacentral:rRNA from 1 species
GGGUGCGAUCAUACUAGCACUAAUGCACAGGAUCUCAUAAGAACUUUGCAGUUAAGCGUGCUUGGGUGAGAGUAGUAUUAGGAUGGGAGACCCCUAGGGAGUCCUCGUGUUGAUCCCA